UGGGGAAUAUUGCACAAUGGAGGAAACUCUGAUGCAGCAACGCCGCGUGGAGGAUGACGCAUUUCGGUGUGUAAACUCCUUUUAUAGGGGAAGAUAAUGACGGUACCCUAUGAAUAAGCACCGGCUAACUCCGUGCCAGCAGCCGCGGUAAUACGGAGGGUGCAAGCGUUACUCGGAAUCACUGGGCGUAGGAUGCGUAGGCUGGAAAUCAAGUCGAAAGUGAAAUCCAACGGCUCAACCGUUGAACUGCUUUCGAAACUGAUUCCUAGAAUAUGGGAGAGGUAGAUGGAAUUAGUGGUAUAGGGGUAAAAUCCGUAGAUAUCACUAGGAAUACCGAUUGCGAAGGCGAUCUACUGGAACAUUAUUGACGCUGAGGCAUGAAAGCGUGGGGAGCAAACA
rnacentral:rRNA from 1 species